GCUUUUGGUUCAGUGGUAGAAUGCUCGCCUGCCACACGGGCGCCCCGGGUUCGAUUCCUGGCCGAUGCA
rnacentral:tRNA from 1 species